AUUGCACCCGAACCUCGGGCGACUGAAAAGCCACCGCCCCCACCCCAAACUGCGAGCCGCGCUCCUGGCGCACCCGCCUCCCGCCGGCCUAGCUGCAAUGACAGCACAGGCCCGAAGGUCUCGGUCUCUCCGACCCGGGAUGUGGAGCCCGAAAGGGUGGUGGGAACCCCAGCCCGGGAGGGACGCGGCCGCCGCGCGGGCCAGAUCCCCUUAUCCAGGCCGCCUUUGGAAACCAGCCCACCUGCUACACAACCUUUUCCCAACACCGUGCUCCCACCCCUACCUCCGCUGCUGAAAAACCGCAUUGUGUGGGGGUCUGGAAUCUUCUGGACUCCUGGGAGCCCAAUCCGCUUGCCUCUUGUACCCCUCUUGCAGAGCAAUGAGCCGAUGGGGUGCCAGGCAUUAGAAACCUUCCCUCCAAUCCUCACCAUGUCUCCAUUUUGCCAAAGAAGAAACUGAGGUUAAGGUCGCGAUGCUCUGGCCAGCAUCACAGGUGGGAUUAGAACGCAGAUGGGGUUUGGAGCGGCUCUUGUGUUUAAGCCACACAGUCUGACAUUAGACGGGUGAAUCCAGCCCUCGCAGGGCCUGGAGUGACCUAAGCCGAGAGGAGCUGGGCUGAAUCUCCAGGCGUUCCUUUCUUUCUGCCCUAGGAAAGCUUUGAAAUUCUUAUUUUCAGGUAAACG
rnacentral:sRNA from 1 species